rnacentral:rRNA from 1 species
GACGAACGCUGGCGGCGUGCUUAACACAUGCAAGUCGAACGGAAAGGCCCUGCUUUUGUGGGGUGCUCGAGUGGCGAACGGGUGAGUAACACGUGAGUAACCUGCCCUUGACUUUGGGAUAACUUCAGGAAACUGGGGCUAAUACCGGAUAGGAGCUCCUGCUCCUUGGUGGGGGUUGGAAGGUUUCGGCGGUGGGGGAUGGACUCGCGGCUUAUCAGCUUGUUGGUGGGGUAGUGGCUUACCAAGGCUUUGACGGGUAGCCGGCCUGGGAGGGUGACCGGCCACAUUGGGACUGAGAUACGGCCCAGACUCCUACGGGAGGCAGCAGUGGGGAAUAUUGCACAAUGGGCGGAAGCCUGAUGCAGCAACGCCGCGUGCGGGAUGACGGCCUUCGGGUUGUAAACCGCUUUCGCCUGUGACGAAGCGUGAGUGACGGUAAUGGGUAAAGAAGCACCGGCUAACUACGUG